UACGUAGGGAGCAAGCGUUGUCCGGAAUCAUUGGGCGUAAAGCGCGCGUAGGCGGCCCUGUAAGUCCGUUGUGAAAGUCAAAGGCUCAACCUUUGAAAGCCGAUGGAUACUGCCGGGCUGGAGUCCGGAAGAGGCGAGUGGAAUUCCUGGUGUAGCGGUGGAAUGCGCAGAUAUCAGGAGGAACACCAAUAGCGAAGGCAGCUCGCUGGGACGGUACUGACGCUGAGGCGCGAAAGCGUGGGGAGCGAACAGG
rnacentral:rRNA from 1 species